rnacentral:lncRNA from 1 species
UUUAUUGAAGGCCAACACGGGCGAGCAGGAGAUGGAGGGAAAUGAAACCUGAACAAGGGGUGGGUGGAGUGUGGCCUCUCCUGGCCAGACCCAUUUCUGACUAGCUCCUGGCUGACCCCCAGGGAGCUGGAAGAAUGCCAGAGGAACCACGAGGGUGAUGAGGACGACAGCCACAUCCGGGCCCAGCAGGCCUGCAUCGAGGCCAAGCACGUGAGGGUGCCCCAGCCCGUGUGUGGGUGUGCGCCAGACCGCGUGCCUGUGGUGGGAGGGGCCUGUGCCUGGGGAGGGGGGAUGGGGCGUCUGGCCCAUGCGUAGCUGCUUGCUUCUUUGCAGGACAAGUACUUAGCAGACAUGGAUGAGCUUUUCUCCCAGGUGGAUGAGAAAAGAAAGGUAAGCCCGGGUAGGUCCUCUGGCGCUGGGGAGCAGGCAUCGGAGCGGCGUCCCCUUCCUGGUGCCUGACUGGACUGUCUGUGCUGUAGAAGCGAGACAUCCCCGACUACCUGUGUGGCAAGAUCAGUUUUGAGCUCAUGCGGGAGCCGUGCAUCACACCCAGUGGCAUCACCUACGACCGCAAGGACAUCGAGGAGCACCUGCAGGUGAGGGCCCACGUGUGUUGGGAGCAGGACCCACAAGCACUGAGCGCUUUCUGACCCUGUUGUCACUGCACACUGCAGCGUGUGGGUCACUUUGACCCUGUCACCCGGAGCCCCCUGACCCAGGAACAGCUCAUCCCGAACCUGGCCAUGAAAGAGGUCAUUGAUGCGUUCAUCUCUGAGAACGGCUGGGUGGAGGACUACUGAGG